rnacentral:rRNA from 1 species
AGGAUAAACGCUGGCGGCGUGCCUAACACAUGCAAGUCGAACGUCUCUUCUUUCGGGAAGAGGAGUGGCGGACGGGUGAGGAACACGUGGGAACCUGCCCUUCAGUGAGGAAUACCGGCGAGAAAUCGCCGACAAGACCGCAUAGCCCUCUCUGGUGAGAGCCAGAGAAGGAAAGCCUCGCAAGAGGCGCUGGAGGAGGGGCCUGCGUCCGAUUAGCUAGUUGGUGGGGUAAGAGCCUACCAAGGCGUCGAUCGGUAGCUGGUCUGAGAGGACGAUCAGCCACACUGGGAUUGAGAACGGCCCAGACUCCUACGGGGGGCAGCAGUGAGGAAUUUUCGGCAAUGGGGGAAACCCUGACCGAGCAACGCCGCGUGCAGGAAGACGGCCUUCGGGUUGUAAACUGCUUUUCUUUGGGACGAGCAAGGACGGUACCAGAGGAAUCAGCCCCGGCUCACUACGCGCCAGCAGCCGC